CAUCUUUGCAUCAACCCAAAAGAUAUUCGCUAUUUGUUCAUCGCAAUCUAGUUGCAUAUCAUAUUCAAAUGCAGGAUUCUCAUUCUUUUUAUCUCUAAAGUACUUAAGCAUACUUCCAGCUUCACCAUACAUCAAGUCCCUUUGACGCCUGGUUCGCAAGUGGUUCUUGCGAUCACGACAUGUGUAGCCAAGGUUCAGUGGACCACCAACUUGUCGACUUGCUAACUCAUGGGCUCUUUUAGGUACAAUUCCUGAAUCAUCUGCUGUUUCAAUUUCAAAUGCUUGCAAGGCCGAAAUCUUCCGUUGUGACGGCAUCAAGUGGCUUGUCCCAGGCACCCGUAUAUCAUCUACAACUCAAUAUAUCUUGUUCUUGUCCUAGCUACAAGGAGGACGAUCAGGACAAAAGUAAGAUAGAAGGGAAAUCAUCUACAACAGGCACACACAAACGUACCUUGGUCUUGUUCUCGCUAGGGAGGAUGAGUGGGAGGAACAAGGGAGACGAGCAGGAGGAGGCGCCGACGAAAUUGUCAACACGUUCUGAUUGGCCACAACGUUAGUUCAGCAGAAGCGAGAUCUCUACAACACGUUCAGAUCAGCAUACCUUGGUCUCAUUUUUUCUCCGAGGAGGACCAGGAGGAAGAGGACGAGUCAGAGGAUUUUGGCGCCAAGAAACUAUCAGCUCGUUCUGUUUGGCGCCAGCGUUUAUCUGUUUGGCUGCAAUUGUACAACCGUGGGAGAUUUUCCUCCGGACUAAUAGGGAUUUUUGUUCUAAUUAUUCAUAGAAUUAAGGGGGGAGAAAGGAGAGCCAUCUGAUUAAAAUAGACGGCAGAUGCUAGA